rnacentral:rRNA from 1 species
UCUGUUUUGUAUAUUAUCUUGGAAGCUAAGCAAGGUCAGCCCUGAGUAGUACUUGAGUGGGAGAUUGCCUAGGAAUACCAGGUCUUGUAAGCU